rnacentral:rRNA from 1 species
UACGGAGGGGGCUAGCGUUGUUCGGAAUUACUGGGCGUAAAGCGCACGUAGGCGGCUUUGUAAGUUAGAGGUGAAAGCCCGGAGCUCAACUCCGGAACUGCCUUUAAGACUGCAUCGCUUGAACGUCGGAGAGGUAAGUGGAAUUCCGAGUGUAGAGGUGAAAUUCGUAGAUAUUCGGAAGAACACCAGUGGCGAAGGCGACUUACUGGACGACUGUUGACGCUGAGGUGCGAAAGCGUGGGGAGCAAACGGG